AAAAACAAAAAUUUUAAAAAACACUCCAGAUAGCUCACACAACUUUCGAAUUGACGACCGAUUCUGAUAAAUUUGAUCAAGUACAUUUAAACUAUUUAGAACUAAAUUUUGUAAUUUUUCAAUAUCAUUUAUCUAGUUAUUGAAGAACUCAAAAUCAACAGUUAAAAAAUAAAAUUCUCACAAAAUGUUAUGAUGUAGCACUAAAAGUUUGGAUCAAAGAUAUUAAUCUUGUUGUAAAUAGCAUAAAGAAUUUUUUAUCAAAAUUUUAUUUAAUUUAAAUACUUCUACACUGUUAAAUUUGCAAACGGCACACAUCAAUCAUUAAGAAUUGUUGAUUUUUGAAUACUUUUGAUCACCAGGUAAAUGAUAUCGAAAAUUCACAAAAAUUAUUUUCUAAAUACUUUAAACACGCUAGAUCAAAUAUAACGGAGCCGAUCAUCGAUUCGAAAGUUCCAUCAUAACUAAUGGUUUAGAAGUAUGGAGGCCUCCAUACUCCUAAUAACACAUAAGUCCUACUCCUGUAAUUUUAUUUUUUAUUAAUUUUUUGUCGGUCCUUUACUAACUUUUCCGAUACAUCAUUUAGAAAAAAACUUUAGAUAUUCCUUUCUAUGGUUUACUAAUAUUUCACUUUAGUACUCUAUUGUUUUAACUUAUUACUGAUUAAGCGCAAGAGUUAUUGGAGGGAAUAACAGAAAGAGAAAAUAAAACUACAGAGUAUUAAAAUAAUACAGUUUGUACGUUAUAAUACCAAAGUAAGAAUGUCCUAAACUGUAGGGUGUUAUUCGAAGUUUUUUCUUAAAUUGAUAUAAAGUGUAAUUGUCUUUUACGGGUUCAAAAAUAAAUCAUCGCGGUUGGCAAAUAUAUUUGGUAGCAUCUUUUGAACACCCAAGCUCAAAAAUAAAUCAUCGCGGUUGGCAAAUAUAUUUGGUAGCAUCUUUUGAACACCCAAGCUAAUAUUUCGACUCCUAUUAAUGUCUAAUUUAAUAGUGCCGUGACUAAAUGUAUUAAUUUUACUUUUUAAAGGACCUACAAAAUUAAAAUGUACUAAUAUUUUUUUCAUUAAUAAUAUAAAAUUGCGCUCGCAAUUAUCACAUAUAAAGGAGUAAUGACGUCCUUCUCCGAUUGCAAUGCGGGCGUAAAUUUUAUAAUAUUAUUGGAGAAAAGAUUAAAAAUAUUUUUAUUUUAUGUUUUUGAGUCUUACAAAAAUAAAAACAAUACUUUUAUCAAACUCGCCCUAAGCUUAGAGAUAAAUUAAUUCAACUUUAGGAACAGAACUUGAUGCCGCUUCAGAGGAAAGUCCAAAUUAAAUGGAAGGAAGUUUUGGACAUUUUGGUUCUAUAGUGUGAGGCUACUGUGCUUUUAAAAACACGGAGCCUUCUGUACUUUCAGGUCGUUUUCAAUAUUGUGACUUUCGAAUCGUCGAUCGGCUCCGUUAAACUUGAUCUAGAAUAUUUGAAGUACCUAUAAAAUAAAUUUUAUAAUUUUUCUAUAUCAUUUGCCUAGUGAUCGAAGGGGCUCAAACUCAAUAAUUUUAAUGACCGUAGUGAGCUGUUUGCAAGUUUAACGGUGUAGAAAUAUCCAAAUCACGUGAAAUUUCAAUAGAAAAUUCUUUACAGUAUAUAAAACAAGAUCAAUAUCUUUGAUCUAAAAUUUUAAUGUCAUAUUAUUACGUUUUGUAAGAUUUUUAUUUUCAGCUGUUGAUUUUGAGCCCCUUUGUUCACUAAGCAAAUAAUAUUAAAAAAUCGCAUAAUUUAUUUUUUAGGUACUUUAAAUACUCUAGAUCAAGUUUAACGGAGCCGAUCGACGAUUCGAAAAUCGCAACAUGGUAAACGACCUGAAAGCACGGAAGGCAGCAUAGUAGCCUCACUCCUUAAAAUUUAGUUUAUUUAUAUUUUUUAGGAAAAACUUCAAAUACUAUUCUUGUGGUUUCACUUUUUUUUACUUUAGUACCCUAUGGUUUAAAAUGUAUCAAGUUAGUACCUUGUGGUUUCUCACUUUAUCACUUUAGUACUCUGUGGUUUAAAGUGUAUCAAGUUAGUACCCUGUGGUUUUGCACUUUAUCACUUUAGUACCCUGUGGUUUCGCACUUUAUCACUUUAGUACCCUGUGGUUUAAAAACUACAAGGUACUAACUUGAUACAAAAAUAAAACCACAGGGUACUAACUUGAUACAAAAAUAAAACUACAUAGUACUAACUUAAUACGCUUUAAAUCACAUGGUACUAAAGUGAUAAAGUAAGAAACCAGAGAGUACUAACUUGGUACACUUUAAACCAUAGGGUAUUAAAAUGAAAAAGUGUGAAACCGCAAGAGAAGUUUUUGAAGUUUUUUCUAUUUUUUAUUCAAACUUUUUAAAUUAUAAGGAUCAAAUUUUAUAUGCUAAUUUGAUUAACUAAAUAUUAAUAUUAAUGCUUAGCUAUUAUGGAAGUGAUUUGACGGUGCUCUGAUUGACAACACGAUAAACAAUUUAAAAUACUACAUCACUCACAUAUCAGUGAUAUGUUAAUAUUUCGUCAUUUAAAUUAAACUGCUGAAUUUAAUUAUAACAAUUUAUAAAUUUUUAAGAAUUAAAGUGAAAACUAAUAAUAUAAUUUAAUCUAGAGCAGCUGGAUGACACCCUUCAUUAGAGUUGCAUAAGUAGGUGCAAAUAAAAUACUAAAUUACAGAAAAUUCUUUUGUCAAUAUUUUUUGUUUUUUUCUUAGUGUCAUUCAAAAACUAUACCUUACCUUCUUAAAAAAUAAAAAAUAUUCACUUUGACCCCCACCAUCAUUGUUCCAUUAGGUAUUCGUUUAUAUCCUAUUUUGUAUAUUCAAAAUAUUUCUGAAACCCUCCUCUUUCCUUAUCCUCAGCCGCACUACCUCGCCUUCCGCUGUGCCGGCUCGCCCUCUCCCAUUUUUUUGUUCAUGCCCACACGCAAGCCCGAUCGCUUGCCUCCGCCACCUCACCCUUGCCCUCGCCCACCUCUCCGUCCAUGUCGACCCCAAAUAAGAUGAGAGACAAUUUGAUCAUUUUGUCGCAACGUACUCUCUCGUGAAUAUUUUUUAUUUUUUUUGAGAAUAACUAUAGAUUUUUGAAUGGCAGAGAAAAGAAUAAAAAAAAAGGUAUUGAUAGAAAAAAUUGUCUAUAAUUUAGUGUAAAUAAAAAUGGUGGCAUUAAUUAAUUUGUUACAACAUUUGCAGAUUAAAAUUACAUAAAAAAGGCGACAGUUGCCAGAAUCGUAGGCAUUCUUCAUGGGAAAGCCUUGUCUGACCCGGAAUUAUGUUCACACAGAGUGAUGACUGAUGAGGCCCAGCGCACAACAACGACUUUUUUGGACACAUCUAACUUUAUUUGUAUUUAUUUAGGCUUCGUAUGGCUGGAGAUUGCAUUGAGUGCGGUGAGAAAGUACGUUGAAAAAAUAUCUUAUUUAUUUCCGUACGUAAUAUUGUGAACCCCAAAAGAUCGAGUGGUUUGAUGAUUUCCCACCUAUGCAUCUACGAGAGAAAAGGGAUUUCCAACCUCCUGCUCUUCAGAUUAAGCCUUAAUUUGAUAAUAAUAAGAUGGGUAAAAAUAUUAUUUUUAUAAAAUUAAACUAGAAGACUAUAUAUCAAUAAUAUUUAAGUUUUUCUGGUAUCGAUUUUUUAGCCGUUAGAUCUACGCUUUGAUCAAUUUCAUUUUUUAAAUUAUAAUAUUCAACUAAUCACUCACUAAAUUCUAGACGAUCACUAUCAACCUAAUCCCAUAAUUUUUCAUUCAAGGAUUAAAAAAUCGAUACAAAAAGAGUUCAAAUACUAUUAAUAGUAUUCCGGUCCAAUUCUAUUUUUAUAUAAUAAAAUAUGUAAAAAAUUUAUAAGGGCUUAUAAUCUUUCGCCCUCCAAUGCUUAAAAGUUACGGGUGCAAUCGCCAGAGAUGGCUCCAUACUUCUCCGGCCGCGGUUGCACGCAUCACAAUUUUAUAGUAUAAAAAAAAUUAAAAUUUUUUUUUAUUUCUAUAGUUUAGAAAUAAUUCUUUUAACCAUUAUAUUAUCAAACUAGGCUUAAAUAUGUUGUAUAAUAGCUUGUGAAGGAGUUUUUUGGGGGGUUGGAACUUCUAGCAUGUCUGUUUCUCUUGUGGAGACACCAUAUGUUUUAAAUUUGGCUGAAUUCAAUCAGCAAACAGUAAGUAAAUUUAGGGCAUAUUUGGUUUGAAUGAUUUGAGGUUUGAAAUAAGAAUCGGAAUGAUUAAUUUCUAUUGUUGAUGUCUGGUUUAAGGGAUCGAUAUUCUAAUUCUCAUUCUGGGGGAAUCGAAUCCACCCAAGAUGAGGUACGCGGAAAUCAACUUUGAUUCCGAGAAGAAUUAAGAAAAGAGGAUUUUUUUUCCAUUAACAAUUAUGUUAAUUUAAAUACUAAUCUACAUUUAAUUUCAAAAUACAAUGUAAUCUUACAUUUGAUUUUGAAAUAUGGAUUCAAAAUUAAGUUUUUAAUUUUUAAGUUCACUUUUUAAAUUCUAAUAUAAGUUUGACAUUUGACUUAGGUUCUAAAUUUAAAUAUUUGACUUGAACUUGAAUUUGACAUAUAAAUUUAAAGACUAGAGUCUUAAUUUAGAUUCAAUUUUUUUUUUUUUUUUUGAGAAUAGGUAGCACGCUACCUGCUUCGUUCAUUGAAAUUUAGAUUCAAAUUUUGAUUACAAAUUUGCACAGUAGAUUUAAAUUUGAAUUAAAAAUUUAACUUUUUGAAUUUUCAUUUGAAUAUAAUUCUAAUUUUGAUUCUUCUUAUGAACCAAACCUUUCGAUUCUGAUCCAUUUCUAUUCCUAUUCUGAUGUCGAUUUCCAUUUUGAACCCCACGUGCUCAAUAAGUUAAUACGAGUGAAAGUUCGAAACAUUUCAUUACAGUAAACUUAGCUAGAAAUAUGAAUCAAAUAGGAUUCGAAUUUGGGACUUCGGAUACCAACUACCAAGUCCUUUGCCGCUUGCGUCAGAAACAGUCGGCAAUAAUUACAAGCUUUCUAUGAAAUAAUUAUAAGUUUGCAUGUGGAAAUCCAGUGGGAGAAUCUUCCAAAGCAUUAAAAAUUUUAGGAAUAUUUCAAUUCAGACAGUAUUUCCAAGAAAGCUCUAGCAGGGCAGUGGGGACAGAUCAGUUAAUGAUUUCACACAAUUUAAAGCAGAAACCAAGAAUGGAAACACUGUGAGAGGUAUACUGCUGGUGUAAAAGAGGAUAUGAAAUUGAAGCUCACUUUGGAAGCAUCUGCAUUAGCAGGUAUGUGAUUGUUUUGGAAUACUCAUCUAAAAGCUAGUGGGGUGGGCUUCAUCUCUCUUGCAUUUGGGAUAAGCACCUGUUUGGUUCAGCUGAAUAGUAUAAUGUUAGAUGUGUCUCCAAAUUUAGUGUUCGAUUUUAAUUUGGACCGCUCCCCCCGAUUUGUCAAUAAUUUUGCUGUGCGAUAAAUUUGGAAAAAACUUUGCGAUGGAAAAAUUCAACAAUUUUACUGUGCGAUAAAUUUGGAAAAAGAACUUUGUGAAGAAAAAACUAAAUGUUAUUGGUAGGUAGAGGUUCGAGCCUGUAACCCACCGUUGACAUCGGACGGGGGCUGCAGUAGGCUCUACCCCCGUAGUAUGAAUUGGAUCCGAUAACGAAGAAACCCGUUAAGAGUUUUUUUUUCUUUUUUUUACCCUAGGCAUGAAAUAUCGUAUUGUACUCACAAACUUUGUACUCUCCUUUUUUCAUAGUAAAAUUCUCUCCUUCUUCGCUCGUGAUUUUUUUUUUUUGUGCAAAAAAAUUUCACGUAAAUUUUUGUGUUUCAUUUUAUUUUCUAUUUGUGAUUUAUUGCGUUCGCCGUUCUUCGUUUUUGUUUGUGCACUCGUCAUAACAAUAAAGUAUAUUUAAAAAAAAAAAAUUACUUUUGAGCAGAAGCGGAGGUUGUAACGAAAAUACCUACUUUUGAGCUGCAGAAUCUCGUUUCUGAUUUUCAUUAUAGAAAUUUAAAAUUUUUUCCAUUUCGAUAGAGCCAAGAGGCCAGGUCAAGCAAGCCUCAAAUUCGAGACAAAAUGAAGAUUUUAUAUAUCGAUUCAGAAAUAGGUCUAAGGUCUAGUUCUGAUCAAAUUCUAAUUUUUCUAAAUAGAAUUAUUUUGAUGCUUUAGAGUAGUCAAAAAAUUUGAAAGUGCUUUGGAGCUUCCACUCUACAAAUUGAAAGGUUUAAACUACUAUAUUGUAAGAGAAAGGAAGUUUGUAAGUGCUUUAAAAUUUUUUGAACUUUCUCAUGCAUGUAUUAAACCUUCUAAUUUUAUUUUUUUAUUUUAUUUUAAGUGUGAGUGAAGAUCAUCUAACCUAUUAGUGGUUGGCCUUGUCAAGCUUGAUUCAUUUAGAUCAUCAAUCCAACUACAUCUUGUCAAUAAUGACUAGCUAUUGGAACCAAGGUAACCUCAUCCAAUAAUUUUUAUAAGUGACCAGGAUAAAGUACAAUUGAGAAAAGACCCUUUAUCAAAGAUAAGGUGCUUUUAGAAGCACUAAUUUCAUGGUGCUUUUAGCUUUUUAACUAUCAAAAGAUAGGGUUUCUAAAUCCCCAAUAAAGGAUGAUUCAUAGAGAUCUAGCUUUGGAUAACCAAUUAAGCACACAUAAAAUGAGAGAGCAUCAAAGUUGUAGUGAGAACAUGGAAAGUUUGAUGCAGGAAGAUAAAGAGCCGACAAGGGAGAGAAACUCAAGAUAUCUUUUUGGAACAAAUAUGAUCACUCCAAAAAGUAUACAUCAAUAGAAUCAAGAUUGAAAUGAUUUGUUAUCUUGGAGCAUUGUGGUGUCACCAUCUGGUAAUUUGUGUAAAUCUUUUUGAUGGUAUAUAUAGUUUUUAUUUUUAAUGAGAGAAAAAUAAUAUGUUACUUAUUUUGUUCAGGCUUUUUAGAAAUGAACUUUGAUAGAGAUAUGAAGAAAUUAGACUAUAUCAACCACUAAGUUUUUAGCCAACUAGCUUGAUUGGGAGUGAAAAAAGUCGUGCUUUCAAAUAGCAUCAAUUUUACUACUAUCUACACUUGAGAGCGAGCAUAUCGCAGUUACAAAUUUUUUUAAAUCCUUCACUCUCUUCUUAAGUCUUUGCUCUAAACCAUUCAUUCGAGCACAUACUCAGACGGAUAAAAUAACUAUAUCUACUUAAAUUCAUACGAUCCAAAAGCUUAAAUCAGUAAAUUUAAAAAUAAAAUAAUGUACUUAACUCUUUUCGUUUUGUAAUAAUUAUUCAUGUCUAUUUGUUUGUAAUAAGAGAACAACUACCAUUGACCUUUAUAAACAAAAUUUACCCAUCAAAACUAAGGACCUUUACAAAACAAGUGGUGGGUCAUGUGAAUUAUAAGGAACGUUGUUAUUUUUAAGUUGACUAAUAAUGACUCCCUGUUAGCUGUCAACUCGAUUAGACAUUUGAUGCUUCGGUGUGAGAAGAAUAUAUAGCUUGUUUCAACAAGCGUAUCUUAGCCCUUAAAUUUAAUUUUUUUUUUUUUGGGUCUGGCUUGGAAGUUCAUCACCUCACUUCUAUAGCUUAAUUUAUUUCUUUAAUGAAUGAAACAGAUAGCAUGCUAUAUUUUUUCUUUUUUUUUUAAAAAAAGUUACCCAUAUGAGAGAGAGAGAGAGAGAGAGAGAGAGAGAGAUAGAGAAUGUAAGAUCUCUCCUUUUUUUUUUUUUCUUAUUCAUUUCAUGUGCAAAUUCCAACAUUAAAAAAAAAAAAAAAAACAAUACUAAUAACUGCCAAUCAAAAUACACCCCUUCCUUUUCACUAUAAAGGUGCUUCUUUAAGCAACUACAUAACCUUAAUAACAGCAUCAGAAAUUUGCUAGACAAGCUCAGAUCCCACAGUCAGGUCAUCUAACUAGCCCCUUUGUAUCUGUACCACUUUGCGCAGAUCACAAAAUAAACCAAGUUUAAGACCCCGAUCGCCGCGAUUAACAAGUAAAAGAAGUCCAAUCUCCCCUCAUUAAGAUCCUGGGCCAACCAAUUCCUCCCCCCCUUCACUCCUGUGGUCUUGUGAACAAUUGUCACCAGAAACCCACUCAAGUAGUUCCCCCCUGCCAGGUUCAAAAAGGCCAGAGACCCAGCCACACUCCUCAUGUGCUCAGGGAACUCCUUGUAGUAGAACUCUAUCUGGCUGAUCAAGUUAAAUGCCUCAGACACCCCCAGAAUCAUCAAUUGUGGCACCAUCCAAAGGCUGUGCAUUGAGGAGAUUGCUCCCCCGCCGGCCGACAGGCCGAGAGUCGGGUGGUGCAGCGCCACGCUCCUCCGCUUCGCCUCGAUCGCCGCCGACAUGAUCAUCGCGAUGAUCGAGAGGAAUAUCCCGAUCCCCAUCCGGUGGAGGAGCGAGAUUCCGUCCUCUCUCUUCGUCAUCCUCCGGAGCCAGGGCACCAGCAGGCGGUCGUAGAUCGGUAUCCAUAUCGUCUGCGCCAGCAUGGAGAACACGGUGAACGAGGCGGCGGGGAUCUCGAAGUGGUCGUCGCCGAGGUGCCUGUCGGACUGGAGGGCCGACAGGACGACGUAGGUCGACUGCUGCACGACCGCGACGUAGUAGAUUAUGCCGGUCGACCAGACGGGGAUGAUUCGGAGCAAGCAUUUCACCUCUUCGACUUGCUGCAAGCUGCAUAGCUUCCACGGGUUCGCGGCGAAGCCGUUCGGUUUUAUUUCGUCGGCGGGAGUUAUGAUCGCAGCUUUGUCGAGAAAUCUGGAUCAAUUAAAGCGUAGCAGAAGAGAUAUAAUCAGAUGUUUAAUAGAACAAAAAUAGAAACGUAUUCUGCCAAUGACAAUUUAAGCCGGUUGGCUUAAUUUGAAAAUGAUGUGUGUACGUAAAACCCUUGAAUUAGGGCUUAGAGCAUAUCCGGGCCAAUUUAAAAGCCCAUUUCUAAAUACGUUGCCGCGUUUUAUAUUACUCCAUUGCAUCCCCCUCUGCGUUUGAGUGGUGGGCAACGAAAUCUUGUAGUUUAAGAGGUACAAUUUUCAAGGGGGUAAAUUGAAAAUAUUGAUAACUUGAGGGGGUUUCGUGCAAUUUAGCCCGCAAAAACUGGUUUGCAUUCUGUACCUGAACUGGUCAGUGUGUUGAAGCUUGGUCACUAGUAAGCUAAGAUGUGGUGGAUCAAAGAGGGCCUGUUUUGGAUCCUUGGGCUGCUUCAGUUUUCGCUUGCUAAUGCACGCCGCGACUACCUGCACGAUGCUCGUGAACGGGCUCCCCUCAGGCCGGACCUUCACGUAGAUCCUCGAGCCCAUGAAGAAGAUCACGCAGGCAAUGAACAUGAGGAUGGUGGGGAUGCCGAGGCCGAUGGACCAGCUGACGGCGCUCUGAACGUAGAUGAUCACGGUCGCGGAGAUCAUUAUCGCGAAGGUGAACGUGAAGUAGUACCAGUUGAAGAAGCUGUUGAUGCCCCGCUUGCCCGACUCCGUGUGCGGGUCGAACUGGUCUGCACCGAACGGCAUGCUGCAGGGCCGGAUGCCGCCCGCGCCCACCACCAAGAAGGCGAAGGCCGCGAAGAGGACCGACGUUUGAUACGGAGUUGCACGAAGGCACGUCGCACCUGGGGCGCAGCUCGGGGGAUGCAAGCCGGCAACGGCGGCCGUGAGGGUGAGUAUGAACAUGCCCUGCAACAACAUAGAGUCUUUUCUUGUAAGAACCAAAUUUAUAACUCUCAAUUGCGACUCAAACUUACAAUAAUACCCUAAAUGCUUCUGCCCAGUUAUUAAUUCUAAUGUGUUCAUCGUUUAUAAAUCUCUCACAUUUCAUAUACUUUCUCUAUUUUAGAUUCGAAUAUUCUCGUCAAUUUGAUCAUACACAUAGCCUAAUAUUAUCGGACAAUAUGACGCGUAGCUCACAUUUUCGAUUGGUGAAUCUCUUUUGAUACUAAUUAUAAUGACCUAGCCCAUUAGUGCUAAUAACUCGUUGGGUAUAAACUACUAUUCCAAACUAUGUUAAAUUCAGUUAUUAAUUCUGAUGUGUCCGUCAUAUAUGUAAGCUCCUUGCACUCCAUAUUUUAGUGCUAGUCAUUAAACAUGAUUACUAACAUGCAUUUAUAUUAGGUUAAACUUAAAUUUAUAUUGCUAUUCUCUUUUUCCCUUUUGAAAUUUAUAUAGAUAUUCCUUUUUUUUAUUUCUCUUUUAUUUGUCACAAGAAUUAGCUCUUAAGCUCUAGAACUCAAAUUUUUACUGAUCUUAGUAUAAGUACAUUUCAUAGAACGUUUUUGGAAACAUUUAUUAUAGUAAUCUGCAAAUUAAAAUCUAAUUUGUUAAAUAUAUUUUAUGAUACUCAAAAUAUCUAUAUAUUAAAAAAUUAUAAAUAUUAAAGAACGAUUCUUAGAUAUCAAACAAUGAUUUUUUUUAUAACGUUAAUUUUGACAACUACAGGCAUUACUUGAUGCCAAGGUAAUAAAUUUUUAUUUUUUUUUUGUUUAUAUAUAUAUAUAUAUAUCUUAUAAAAUGAACCGCUGAAAAUAAAAAUUUUAUAAAAAAUGGAAGGCUAAAAACAAAAAUUUUAUAAAAAAUGGACGGCUAAAAUAUGGACGAGUAGCCUCAAAAUGAAUGGCUAAAAAUAAAAACUUUAUAAACCAUAAUGAUAAAAGACUUAAAUUUUAAAUCAGAAAUAUUGAUUUUACUAUUGGUGUUAAGUAAAAUUUUCUAUUAGAGUUUCAUGUAAUUUAUAUUAUUUUACAUCACUGAACUUAAAAAUGUGCCAUUUUGAUCGUUAAAAUAGUUAUUUUUAAGAUCUCUUGAUCACUUGGUAAAUAAUAUCGAAAAAUUAUAAAAUUUGGUUUUUAGAUAGCUUCUACAGCGUAGAUUAUGGCUAAUAGAGCAGAUUGUCGAAUUGGAUAUUCGAUCAUCAAAAAUAAAUUACAAGUAUGGAGACCUCCGUGCUUUCGGAAGCACAGGAGACAUACUUUCUCUCUCUCUCUCUCUAUAUAUAUAUAUAAACUUUUCAAAUAUUGUACAUUAUAUUUAUGCAAUUAAAUUUUAAUUUGAAAUAUUAAUCAUCCAUAUUAAGUAUAAUAGUUUCCUAAAAGCCAGAAAGACAACAGGAUUUAUAAUUCUUCACUGCAAUCAGAAUCUAACAGAGAUUUACGGCUCUAAAAUGAGAUGUCUUUUUUGUCACAAUUAU
rnacentral:lncRNA from 1 species